CUUCUACUCCCUCUGUCAGGAAAUACUUGUUCUAGAAAUGGUUGUAUCUAGACUUGUUUUACUUAUAGAUACAUCAAUUUUAUCUAUUUCUAGAACAAGUAUUUUCGGACGGAGGGAGUACAUU
rfam:Triticum urartu cultivar G1812 contig915990, whole genome shotgun sequence.